ACACUAUCUGCCUGUCAGAAGAGCCAAGGCUGGGUAGAGCAGGAUCUAUAUAAGGCUUGUAACUAGGGGAAGCCCAACAAACAGCUACAAACACCUAAGUUAUUUUACUCAGCCUCCACCCUUCUGCUUUUUCCCCCCUCUUCUCACUCUCUUUUUUUUCCUUUUCAUCUUGGCUUUCUGUUGCAGAAUGCAAAUGUAGCCUGCCGGCGGUGAAUGGGCUGAAUUGUGAUUAAGAAGAAGAAGAGCUCCUUUCUUUGUUCUCCCCUCAGGGGAUGUUUACUGGGAGAGACACAGCGGAUCAGAUAUGAAAGGCAUUCAGACGCCUUGGAAGCACUGAACGUUCUCCCUCUUCUUUACAACUGGAAGCGAGAUGGCAAAGAAAUCAGAGAGAGAUGUCUACUGGAACUUUGGAGAAAAUUAGACCCAACUUUUCUUUUCUCCUCUUCCUCCCCCAAACAUUUUUGCUUUUAAAGGGGACAACUCAACUCCCAAUUCAUGCCAUGCCAGAGAGAUUUGUUUUAAGGAAAGCGUGUUUGUGCCUAGUCAUCUCUCCCUGAGAAGGAGAAAGAGGGAGUGAUGAGAAAUCAAUCCCCUUCCCCUUAUUUCUAAGGCUCUGCGUGCAUCAGGAAGAGAGAAUGAGGCAGCAUCUCCAGUGAGACCGCUCCAGUUACAAACAGGGGCAACACCAACAGCAAACGCCAAACUUUGAGAGAGAGGAGAGACCCUGAAACACACGCCACCUAUCUUUGUGGGGAGGGAUAAUUGAAGAGCACCAAACGUGAGCAUCAUGUGGAAACGUGAUCGCCAAGUUUCUCUCUGGGAAAGGAUCUGGGAUAGAUUAUACCUUGAAGUCUCCGCAAACGCUUUAGUGGAAGAAAUGAAAUUCCACCUCCUCCCGCUCUGUACUCCCUCCUCCCUCUCUCCGACCCUCGCUCCCUUUCCUCCCUCCUCCUCCCCCCCCCCCCCCCCAACCCAUCAAGUCUUUGGCAUCAUUAUCCUCUUCACUAAAUCCUACUGGAUACACGGCGGAAAACGGUGAACACCAUUCACAGAACUGGAUAACUCAAAGGAACUGAAAGUUAAAGGGAGCGAUCCUGUGUCUUUCAAUCAAGAUCCCUACUUCUUUUUACAGAGAUAGCUCUAAUGGCCAGAUUCUGCAGGCACAUUGACUUGGGUAGCUGUGUCAGCAUGGUUUCUAGCAGGGAAGUCUCCUUCUCCUUCUCAGUCCCCCCUCCACCCCUUACCCCCUUCUUUCAGAUGAGCACACCAUAGCUCAAAAUUAUGGGUAGAAACUAAACACUGUAUUUGAAUUGAAAAAAGGCACCGAGUUGACUUCCGAUCAUUUUGUUGUUGUUGUUUGUUGUUGUUUCGAGGCUCAACCAUCUUAUUUGAAUUGUCCGUUAUAUCUGGUGAAAAACGUGAGAUUUGACAUUCUUUCUGUUUUGUUCCCAGAUAUGCUCAUGGGGUGAAAUGGCUCUUUUUCUGUCUCUCUUCCCUUUUUGGGGGGAAGGAGGUAGCUAGCUAGAGUGACUGGGUGAGUGGUACUGAACUUGUGGGGAUAACAAGUUUAACAGUUUUUAAAACAGGAAAAUAAUAAUAAUAAUUAUAAUAAUACUAAUAAUAUUAAAAACAGACUCCACCUUUGCACUGGAGGGAUUGGUUAUGCAAAUCUGGAAGGGGUUUCCUGGCAAAUACAGCUUUCUACUGUAUGGUUAAUUAAAUCAUCACUCAAAAGCUUUCCAAUGUGACGCUUCUGUCGUAAUCCAAUCAGGGUACGUAGGUCCUAAACAAGAAAGAUAUUUUCCACAUCUGGAAGUCAGCAAUUUAGCAAGUACUGCACAUUAUUAACCAAUUCAGAGCCCACUUCCCAGGGGGAUUUUUUUUUGAAGUUUAAGUGUUCUUAACCAAUGCUCUGCUGUUUUGUUAAUCAAAAAGCUGGUUUGCACUGCACAUAAUUGGAAACUAAUAUAGAAGUAACUAAAGACAGCUAAAUUCGGUCAGCAAAGGCGUUUAUCUGAAAAGGGGGAAAAAUCUCUGAGCCUUGAUCAGUUCAUGCCCAGCUCUUCACAGAACUCACAUACGGUUCCUUCUCUGGAAGAGCUUUACAUACUCUCAAUGUAAAGAUGAACUUCAAAUCCUACAUGUUUGUAUGAUCUUUCUGAAGGUAAACGUGGAGCUGCCCAAGGGGCUGUAUUAGCGGGCUCCGUAUGAAUUUCCCUUCUUUGACAGAGUUAAAUCUAUUACUGCACUCCCCCCCCCAGAAGUAAACUGAAACAAAUGGUACACUGAUCCGACACUAUACUUUUACUUACAUUAAGCUAAGAUAAACUGCUCUUGAACUGUGCAUUGAAUGUGUGCCUAAAGCAAGAAUUGUAAUGCUAGCAAUAGUCACUAGCAAUUGCAUUCAAAAAUGCUCCUGAUCAGAGCACACCUUUCAAAGUGCAUUUGCAAAUCAUCGCUUCCUCAGAGAUCUGAUGAAUAUUUUUAUCUGUUAAUAAAGCUACCCUCCGAUUUAAAAAACAAAUCUGAAUGCACUGCGCUGGCAAUCGCCCGAUCACACAAUUUUGGGGGAAAUAGGGAAGACUGAACAGUUGGUUACAGUAUAGGAUUUGGACACAUCUGGGGACUGUAACUGUCAAUGCAACUAAUGAAUAUAAACUGAGUGUUAUUAGAAACCUGAGAUGUCUUUAGUGUAGGCAGAUUUUAGAGCAAUAACCACAAAAUCUUUUUUUAACAGUUCCAAAUAAAAUCCUCAGCUCACAG